rnacentral:misc_RNA from 1 species
UUUCCGUAGGUGAACCUGCGGAAGGAUCAUUACUGAGUGAUGGCCCCUCGGGGUCCCACCUCCCACCCGCGUUUAACGAACCUUGUUGCUUCGGCGGGCCCGCCUCCCGGCCGCCGGGGGGCAUUGCCCCCCGGGCCCGCGCCCGCCGAAGCCACCUGUAAACGCUGUCUGAAGUAUGCAGUCUGAGACAAUUAUUAAAUUAAUUAAAACUUUCAACAACGGAUCUCUUGGUUCCG